rnacentral:misc_RNA from 1 species
GAUGAAGAACGCAGCGAAAUGCGAUAAGUAAUGUGAAUUGCAGAAUUCAGUGAAUCAUCGAAUCUUUGAACGCACCUUGCACCCUUUGGCAUUCCGAAGGGUAUGCUCGUUUGAGUGUCAUUGUACUCUCACACUCCCACUCUUUUGGAUUGGGAGCGGUGGACUUGGGUGUUGCUGCUUCACUGUGGCUCGCCUCAAAUGGAGUAGUGCAACUCUCGGUUGGACAUAGUACGGCGUGAUAAGUGUCUUCGCCGGCGCCUCACUAGAGGGUGGCCGAUCGGGAGCUCUGUGCUUCAAACCGUCUUCGGACAAUCUCUGACAACUUGACCUCAAAUCGAGUAGGACUACCCGCUGAACUUAAGCAUAUCAAUAAGCGGAGA